AGAGGCUGCAUCGAGAUGGAGCGCUGGGACGGUCCUCCGGGGAAGUAGAAAACCAGUGGAAAAACCAUUGGUCUCCGUGAAAGGCAGCCUGGAGCUGAGGAAUCCGGCUGCGGCCUGCACGAGCCCCGCGCUCCAGAGCCCCUGUCAGCUAAAGUCUUCGCGGAAAUUAUGGAUUGACGUGAGAAUAAACUGAGGCUUUGCCCAUUCUACUUCUGCUCCAAUAAUGCAGACCAUCAGCCUUGUUCAAGAAGGCAAUGGGCUUUGAACACAGUUUAGAUGUUAAGUAAAACUGCAGAAAUUCGAUAAGACACGGUUUUCUCUCAGUGAAAGACAAGAAUCCCACAGAUUCACCAGUUAGGAGGAAGAGAAAUAACAAUAUUAUGUCCACAUUUUACACAGAAACUUAAAACUGAAUUGUUGUUGUUUAGUCACUAAGUCAUGU